rnacentral:rRNA from 1 species
GACGUAGGUGGCGAGCGUUGUCCGGAAUUACUGGGCGUAAAGGGCGUGUAGGCGGUUGCCUAAGUCAGGCGUGAAAACCCCGGGCUUAACCUUGGGACUGCGCUUGAGACUGGGUGGCUUGAGGACAGGAGAGGAAAGUGGAACUCCGUGUGUAGCGGUGAAAUGCGUAGAUAUACGGAAGAACACCAGUGGCGAAGGCGACUUUCUGGACUGUCCCUGACGCUGAGGCGCGAAAGCCAGGGGAG